rnacentral:rRNA from 1 species
UACGUAGGGUGCGAGCGUUAAUCGGAAUUACUGGGCGUAAAGCGUGCGCAGGCGGCUUUGCAAGACAGAUGUGAAAUCCCCGGGCUCAACCUGGGAACUGCAUUUGUGACUGCAAGGCUAGAGUACGGCAGAGGGGGAUGGAAUUCCGCGUGUAGCAGUGAAAUGCGUAGAGAUGCGGAGGAACACCAAUGGCGAAGGCAAUCCCCUGGGCCUGUACUGACGCUCAUGCACGAAAGCGUGGGGAGCAAACAGG